AUGGACCACGCCUACAAGUUCGGAAUGAUGGUAUGCAAGCAGACUGUAAUCUACACCGAGCAGGCGAAGUACUUUGCAGCACGGGAGAAAGUACACAAGCAGCAACUCCAAUUCCUGCGGAGCGAAGUCGAAAGACUUCCAAGCAGCGGUGGAAAACACCACACCAUCAACCAGUUGGGACUGGAACUCGGGACAUCCCAGGCCAGCUUAACAGCUACGCAGACCGAUCUGGACGCCACAAAAAACGAAUUGGACGACCUCCACUGCAUGAACGCCUCCCAAGAACUGGACGACAUCCACUGCAUGACCGCCUACCAAGAUACUGAUUCCCCGCAUCAGAGAUUGUGUUCUAAGAGAGUCGAUGAAGAUGACUUCAUGGACGAGAAUGGGAACGGAGAUCUACCACCAGGCCCCUGAAAACAGAAACGGAGGACAAUGUAAAUAGUGUGUAAAUAGUGUGAUGUGUUGUAAGCGCG
rnacentral:lncRNA from 1 species